AGUUAUCUGCUGUGCCACUGUAAUAGAAAGAAGAAUGGGAAGUAGUAUCUCACGAAGAUUAGCCACGAUGGUGUGGGCCCAGCACCCUGGCUAGCACCCCUUCUAAUGAGGUUAAUUUGAAAGAACCAAAGAAAAAUCAAAUUGUUUGAAAAAGCACUAAGAGAAAGGUGAGACUCACACAGAUAGACACCAAACCUCAUCUCACUACAGACAACAAAAAUUGAAAAAUUAGAAGAGUGAAAAAGCUCUCAUUCAGAGGAUACAGAGAUGCUUCCAGGCACGUCAGAGUAAACUAGUUUCCUUUGCCUAUAUUGAAAACAUUUUUAAUGUGGAAAAAAGCUUACUUCGGUGUGUCUAGUUCAGCCUCUGCAAGAACAGAGGAUGCACAAAAUCCCACAGUGAGGUGGGCUCUAUAUCUGACCUUACUCAAAAGAGGAAAGCAUCAAACUGUGAUGGAUAAAUACGAGUACAGAGAUGACAAGUAGAGCAAAGAGGAAGUAGGGGUCCAGGCUGCCAAACCCAGCUGGCUGUUCAUAGUGCACAGGGGAAGGCACUUCUUGGCAGACUGUAUGGCUGGGGGGGUGCUAGGAGGAGACAACACAUUUGUGGUGACCUCUAAGCUCCUCUGCCCCAAAUCUACAGGGUUACAAGAAGAAAAACAGGACACUGGGAGACAUUAAGGAAAACAAGGUACUUCUCAAUGCUCAAUCCCACUGAGUUCACUGAGAUUAGAAAAGGCAGGUGGCAAACAAGAGUUGAAUAAGAAUCCCUGAGACAUCUGAAAAACUACUAAACAUCACCUCACUUAGACAACUUGGCUCCUUCUGAUGCUCUAGCUGAUACACCAGCCUUUAGUUAAAACAGAAGCAGUGGAAAUCCCUCCCCUUUGCCUUGAGCUGCAGAGUGACACUUUCAGGAAUGAGAUAAACCUGCUGGAAUCCUGCAGGUCCCUGCUUCCUUACUGAAACUGACUGAUGUGGAAAGCAAGUGAGAGCUGGGACACAAGGGCCAGCAGAGCAUGGCUGUGAGCUGGCACCAGUGGGUGCUGCAACCUGCAAGUGUCAGUGAAAUGCUUUGUGAAGAUCCUUAACUCUGCUAUGUCUGCGCAUCUUUCUCUUUUGACUAAA
ensembl:lncRNA